rnacentral:rRNA from 1 species
GAGUGNCGAACGGGUGAGUAACGCGUGGGUGAUCUGCCCUGCACUUUGGGAUAAGCCUGGGAAACUGGGUCUAAUACCGAAUAGGACCACGCGCUUCAUGGUGUGUGGUGGAAAGCUUUUGCGGUGUGGGAUGGGCCCGCGGCCUAUCAGCUUGUUGGUGGGGUAAUGGCCUACCAAGGCGACGACGGGUAGCCGGCCUGAGAGGGUGACCGGCCACACUGGGACUGAGAUACGGCCCAGACUCCUACGGGAGGCAGCAGUGGGGAAUAUUGCACAAUGGGCGCAAGCCUGAUGCAGCGACGCCGCGUGAGGGAUGACGGCCUUCGGGUUGUAAACCUCUUUCAAUAGGGACGAAGCGCAAGUGACGGUACCUAUAGAAGAAGCACCGGCCAACUACGUGCCAGCAGCCGCGGUAAUACGUAGGGUGCGAGCGUUGUCCGGAAUUACUGGGCGUAAAGAGCUCGUAGGUGGUUUGUCGCGUUGUUCGUGAAAACUCACAGCUUAACUGUGGGCGUGCGGGCGAUACGGGCAGACUAGAGUACUGCAGGGGAGACUGGAAUUCCUGGUGUAGCGGUGGAAUGCGCAGAUAUCAGGAGGAACACCGGUGGCGAAGGCGGGUCUCUGGGCAGUAACUGACGCUGAGGAGCGAAAGCGUGGGGAGCGAACAGGAUUAGAUACCCUGGUAGUCCACGCNGUAAACGGUGGGUACUAGGUGUGGGUUCCUUCCUUGGGAUCCGUGCCGUAGCUAACGCAUUAAGUACCCCGCCUGGGGAGUACGGCCGCAAGGCUAAAACUCAAAGGAAUUGACGGGGGCCCGCACAAGCGGCGGAGCAUGUGGAUUAAUUCGAUGCAACGCGAAGAACCUUACCUGGGUUUGACAUGCACAGGACGCCGGCAGAGAUGUCGGUUCCCUUGUGGCCUGUGUGCAGGUGGUGCAUGGCUGUCGUCAGCUCGUGUCGUGAGAUGUUGGGUUAAGUCCCGCAACGAGCGCAACCCUUGUCCUAUGUUGCCAGCGGGUUAUGCCGGGGACUCGUAGGAGACUGCCGGGGUCAACUCGGAGGAAGGUGGGGAUGACGUCAAGUCAUCAUGCCCCUUAUGUCCAGGGCUUCACACAUGCUACAAUGGCCGGUACAAAGGGCUGCGAUGCCGUGAGGUGGAGCGAAUCCUUUCAAAACCGGUCUCAGUUCGGAUCGGGGUCUGCAACUCGACCCCGUGAAGUCGGAGUCGCUAGUAAUCGCAGAUCAGCAACGCUGCGGUGAAUACGUUCCCGGGCCUUGUACACACCGCCCGUCACGUCAUNAAAGUCGGUAACACCCGAAGCC